UUGUAACUAAUAACAAAGAAUUAAAGCAAUUGUAUUCUUAUAUCACACAUUUCUUACUGUUUACUUUAUUUUAGAUUUAUAUUUUGAACUGGCGGUCGUCGGCUCGCGUGACGUCAACAACAUUAUACCUUUAAUCAACUUUGACUUUUAUUGGAUCAGUCGUGCGUUGUAUUUCGACGAGUAAGGAUCGAAGCUCCCUUAGGAUGUGUUUUUCUGGUCUUUGGUUAUGUGCGACGUCAACAUAACCGGACCUUUGAUCGAUAUUGACAAUUACUGGAUCAGUUUCCCAUUAUAUUUCGACGAGUGAACACAGAAAUUCUCAUGCUUUUCCUGCAAGUAAUAACGGAGAAUUCAAACUGGCAGUUCUUGGUUAUGUGUGACGUCAACAUAAUCGGACCUUUGAUCGAAUUUGAUAGUUACUGGAUCACUUUCGUUUUGUACACCGAGGAGUGAACAUAGAAAUUUUCACAGGAUAUCUUUCCUGCAAGUAUCAACGAAAAUUUUAAAACUUUAUUGUAAUCGAGCGUGUAGCAACGAAGUAAUCGAGUGUUUGUGUCGCUAAAAUAAAAAUAUUGCGAAAUAGAAGCAGUGUUUGUUCGUACGCGUUUCGCGAUUUAAAUAAUGAGUGUUCUUUUAUGAACUGCGUGCAAUGCAGUCGUUAGAGUCAGUAUUUGUUUGCGAAGUUUUUUGCUGUUUUAAUAGUCGCACAGACUGUAUUUAUAAAAGACUAGAGUUUCGCGAAAUAAAUUCAGUGAUCGUUCGUUAAUAAAUAAUUAUCGCGUAUUAGAGUCAGUGCAUCACCGAAGAGGAUUCCGAAGAUCAACUUCGAUGUCGAUCUAUCUCAUUUUCAACCAACUACAUAUCAUCCACCCUCAAUUUCGAUCUAAAUCGCGGACGAGUGUUUUGGAGCCAUCGCAGAACUUCUUAAGUAGUGAGUUAAUUUUUAAGUCUCUCCGAUCACUCAAUCACGUCGAGGACGAAAGGUCCGAAUCGGCACGAGUGAUUGGUUGUAAUUAAUUAGUAGACGAGCAUUGAGUGACCACGAGUAAAUUUCUUCGGAGAUUUACUCGUGAAUCUCGUUCGUUAUUUUUUGAUUUAUUUAUUAGAUCAGGAUAGAGUUUUCUUGUUCAAACGCGUUAAUUAUAAUUAUUUGAAAUAUUAAAUAUUUUAACACGUUUAUUAAAUAUUUUCUCUCGCGAUAUAACAAUAAAUAUUUACGAUAUUUACGAGUUCUAAUAAAGAAUGAGCGAGAAGACAUUCGCGAUGAAUAGUCUUUAAAUUACAAGCUAAAUUGUAUGAUUUAUAUUUUAAUAAUUAGAAUAAUCGCUUGUAAGAAGGAACGUCCAAAGAUUUUUUAUUACAUUUUUAAAUAAAAUAAACAGGUUUAUUGAUAAAAAGAAAGUCUCAAUAGAGUCAUUGCUUUUGAUCGAAAAAAGUCGAGUAGAGUCAUUGCUUUUGAAAGUAAGUAGAGUUCUAGUAGAGUUAUUGAUAAAAAAACAAAGAGACUUGUAAAAUCACAGCCCGUAAAACCUCAGAAUAAAUUAAUCAAUUUUUAGCUCAGGAUUUUCAGCAAUUAAUAUAUUAAUUCUCGUUUUCUUUCUGUGUUUUCUCAAUUUUUCGUUUCAGGAUGGUUUUAGAGUUGUGUUAGAUUUAUCAGUUUUCUUCCACGUUUUAGUUUUUUGAUAUUAACGAUAGUUAUCGAAUAUUCUAUAGUAGUGGUUAGGGCACGAAGCAAAGAAGAGACUAUAUGACCAAGAGUCCCUCACAAAUCGUGGCUCAAGAGGGCAACUAUUAGGCUAUUGAGUUAUUUUCGAAGGUUCGAUAAAACUCUUCGAUAAUGGCUCUUAGUCAUACUUUACCAUGUUGUCACUCAAAAUGCUCUUGUAUAAUAAUAAUAUAAAUUUCAGGAACUGAGACGACGUAACAUUUCGUCUCCCAUCCCACAUUGCCAGGGGUACGCGAAAAGAAUUUUUACGUAUUUUAUGCAUUUUUAUUAUUAAAGUCGAGUAAUCGCGUUUUUUUAAACGUUCAAUUAAACUCAUGAUUUUAUUUUUAUAAAAUCAAGUACUUUAUUAAAAUAAUAGCUGCGAAAUGUAUAAGAUAAAACAAUUGUGGGAAUCACCGAAAGUGCACUGAAUAAAAGUGCACAUGAAGCUGAAAGAAACACGAGAUGUGUGUCAAAUUCUCUCUUUGCCACGUGUUACGGGAAAAGAAUAUUUAUUUAGAUUAGGGUCGAUUCAUUUUCGUUUUCUCUUAUAAACUUGAAUUAAGUUCAGAAUUUUACUUUUACAUACAUAUGUAUAUUUUCUUCCCUAAUUUUUUUUUCUUUUCUAUAAAAUCAGGUUGUAAAUUAGGGUUUUUUAAAAUCAUGAAACGAAUAGGAGAUAGCAAUUGCAGAGAACUCCAAAACUGCAUUGAGUGAAAUUGCAUAUAAGGAUGCAAUAAGCAUAUUUAAAUAUAUGCCAUGUUCUUUGUUGGUAUCGUAUUACAGGAGGAUUAAAGAUUAAGAACUUUUCAUAUUCGAUAUAAUUAAUUCAAUAUAGAUUUCGGAAUAUGUUAGUAAUUAUAAAUAUUUCGAAAUUACAUUUCUUGCAGCAUAGGUUUAUAUGUGAUAAAUGCAAAUUGAGGAAACGAUGAUUUUUAAAUUUAUAGAUUCAGUAAGUACAUUUUGUAGUAGUGUCGAAAUAAAAUCAACCGUGUGCAGGUUUAAAUUCAGAAGAGAAUAAUUAAUAAAUAAGAUUAUUUUACUAAUAUUUAAAUAAUAGAACAUUGCUAGCAAUGUUACGAAGAUCAUAAAACACGAUCGACAUAAAAUAAAUUGAGUUUCGUCUUUCGACAAACAUAAAUCGCAAACUGGGGAGGAAAUAAUUAAUAAAUAAAAUUAUUUUAUUAAUAUUUAAAGGCUAAUUCUUCCAAUUAAUGUAGGGAUUUGAGUUCUUGCUAAGCUCUUGUCACUCUAGGAAUUAAAGUAGAGUUUAUAGAGUUCCACUCAGCUCGUGAGUCUUCAGAUGCAAUAAUUUUCACGCGAUAAGACCAGGAUCGUUAUUAUUCGCGAUAUAAAAGAAUCUAAUAGAACUUCAGUAAUACUACCGAAUGAUUGCAAUGGCAAUAUCGAAAAAUUAAAAGCAUGACCGAUGUCUGAAGCUGACGGUGUCGAACGGUGGAGCUUUUUGUAAGCGAGGUUUCACCAAACCUCUUGUUUUGCUAAGAAACCUGAAGCUCUCGAAGCGGAAAGACAUCUUGGAACGUGGAUUUUAGAAUAGAUUCACCAUUAGCCCAUGGAUCUUCAGAUGCAGUAACCGUUUCAUCGCCCAACAACCAUAUUUUAUCAUUUAGGGAUUUAGAUUUUUACACGGAUGUUUAAAGAAUCUUUCUACCUGAAGUGUAGAAGGAUUUCUGUUCUUCCAUUCGGGUGAGAUAGAAGGACAUUUGCGUUUGUGUCGGCUGGCAUAGGCACGAUUAAACCCAAGUUUGGCUCCAACGUACUCAACAUAUUCGUUUGAGUGUUCUUGGACACUUACGUAAGUAUUUGUGAGUGUGAUAAGAUUUAAUCUUGGAUCCAGGCGUAUUUGUCGUGAAAGCACGACCGGUUGUGCUCAAAUGGUGAUCGAAGCUUCCGAUGUUUCGAUGGUUGAGCUAUGCGUAAGUCGGUUCCCAAAUGCGGAAAUAUGCAUAGAGCUGCAAUUUUAGCGUUUGAGACUUGAAUUCGUCGUGGAGUGGAGAUCAUCCGGUUGUUUUGAUUUUUUAAUGAUAGUAGUAGUGGUAGUAUAAAAAGUAGAGUCACCGUUAGCCCGUGGGUCUCCAGAUGCAGCAACCUCCACGCGGUGAGACCUGGGUCGGUAUUACUUGCGAUGUAUCGAAACGUAAAUCUAAAUUAUGUAACGCAAGUACUACCGGGCGAAUGGCUGCAUAUUCAUGAAUCGAAGUUAAUACGUAUAAUGUUUUAAUAUCAUUUUAGUCACAUUGAAAUAUAUGAAAUAUACAUUUAUGAAAUAAAAUUUUCGGUAUACAUUGUUUGAUAUUUUUAUUUCGCGCGCACCAUGUUAUUGACGUGCUUUGUAACAUACCAUAGCAAAUGAAAGUGACGAGCGCAUUAUCUAAACAAACAAAAAAAAAAAAAAAGAAAGAAAGAAAAUAAAGAAGCACGACAUUUUUAUAAUUUAUAAAUAUUUUUUUUCUUACCUUCGUAAACAUUUCGUGCGAAGCUAUAAUAAUUCCCCUCAUAGAAAAAGUUGAUGGUUUCAGACUCGCAACCAUAAGCAAAACCAACAUUUUUCGCGUUUUUAUAGAUAACGCAUAAAAUGGAAUUUCACAACUUUGGAAAUGAUAGGAUGUUUUUUUAUAUAUAUUUAACGAUAUAAAAAAGAAAAUGCGUACGAGUCAUGAGUUUUUAAAAAACUUACCAUUUAGUCAAUAAACCGGUGCUAUUGUUUAUCAACUUUUGUCCGAGGUAGCAAUAAAUGUAUAUUAUGAACAAAUUUGCAGAAAUGUAGAGGGAACGUUUCAAUGUAUCGUUUAUAUUUUCUGUCAAAGGUAAUAACUCGAAUAACUGCAAAACAAAUGUUUCAAUUUUUAAAUCAUAAUAUAGAAUAAAACAGCGUAAUAUUUUUUGUUUUUCUAAUAGUAUAUCUAUAUCAUUUUAUGCUUAUUUACUAACGUUACUUACGUAAAGAUAAUCUAAAAUAAUGAAUGCCAUUGCAAAGAAUAAUUCGACAAAGUAUAUUCUAAUAUAUAUCAAUUUUAAUAAGGCGACGAAACUUUAAGAAAAAAAGAACACAUAUUAUAAAAUUAAAAAUUUACAUUUAAUAAUAAUAUAAAUUUGUUAUCGUAAAAAAUACAAACUUGAUGGCAUUACAAUGCCAUUUUAUAGCAUCUAAAAUCCAAUCAUAUUCCUUUUCGUAAGUAUUAAAAGGAUAAAUAUACAAAAAACUAUACUGACUUUUUUGGAAUGGUCUCUCUAGCUUUAUACUGUAACGAUUGAUUAAAUGAAAUAUUUUUUGAUGAAGAUAUCAGUUUCUUAAGGUAACGACGUUAUCAAUUAUUAUUAUACUUACCUAACGAUAUUGAACAAGGCGCAAGCAUGUUGUGUGAACGAUAUAAACAUUGAAUAGUUUGCAACACCCACAGUACAUAUGAUGAUUAUUGUUACGAUUUCAUAUAAAAGAAUGAAAUAGUAAUGCAUACUGUUUUGUAGAAAAUAUUCAAUGCGAAAUGGUAAUAUUAAUUGCGUAUCAUCAAUGACAUCGAAGGUGUAGAGUAGACCGUUUAAAACGGAUGGGAUCAUCAAAAAAGCUGUAUAAAGGUAACAGACAACUGAAAUUGCAAGAGCGAAAGAUUAAUUAUAAAGUUAUUUUAAACACUCGAUGUUAAGAAAAAAAGAAAAAAUAUUAUGUAUUUUUUGUGUACCAACAUGCGAUCGAUAUCAAACAUAGUUUGCUUUCAAAGGCGUACUUUCGCAUUAUUGUUAAUUCUUGUUGUUCUGUUAAAACGUUUAAAUCGUAUUUAAUACGAUGAAAAAUAGCUUUUACCUGAAAAAUAAAUGGUAUUUCGUUUUUCCUUUAUUCUUUUAUAUAUACGAAUGCGGUCUACAACGAAUGCAUAAUCAGUGCAAGAAAUUCACAACGGGUGAAUAAUUAAUUAAUUAAAUGUACGAACUCUGGCGGAAUUGUAGAUCAUAUUGCAAUAACACAGGAAGAAAGCUGAGGCGGGCAAAAGUGUUUGCAUUAUUUCAAUAAUUAAAUCCAUUUUCAACUCCAUUGUGAGAAAUAUGAUAGUCUAAAGUUAAUGAUAAAUUUUUUUACUUAAGAUUUUUAGAACAAAGAUCAUUUAUUAUUUAUGGUAAUGUAAUAAUCCGAUUUUGUUUUUCAAUAGACUAUACUUGUAUCGUUUAAACUUCUAAUAUCUCUCAGAUCGGUGUAAAAAAAUAUCAACGAGAAAUGAAGCUAACUACACGAUAAUUUAUGUAAACGUUUGUAACGUUAAGAUUUACCUGAGAUAAAAUGCUUAUAAUUAAGACGAAAAUUAUAAAAAUAACACGUGAGAGUCGUUUCGAUAACUUCUGAUAAGGCCAUAAACCAAUAAGCGCGAGCAAUUGAUGAUUAUAAAUGCAACAAUAUUUUCUGAAACGAUCUGAAGCUCUCAAAGUCAUACUAGCAUCUGUUCAACGAUUAAGAAAUUUACAAUCGCGCAUGACUGCAAUCCCCUUCGAGUUGCUUCGUUAAAUAUUCCACCACAAUUGUCAUUAAUAAUUUAUUUGUAGGGGAAAAUAAAAAUUAUAAGGAAAUGAAAGAAACAAUAUUCCCUUACUUGACAUCACUGACAUCGAUCCAUAAUUUUUCUCCCCUGAUAUCGAUCAGUUAUAUCUAGUACUAGUAGAUUUAGUGUUAGUAAGAAACAGAUGGAGUUUCUCAGUAAUUAAAUGACUUGCUUCAAUACAUUCCUACUGUAUAAUAUUUCUUCUUUUUUAGAAGAGACAUGAGUGUUAGAUUAGAAAUAUUUUUUUAUUGGUUGCUAGUGUAAUUUUGCAUGUCGAAGGAAACGUAUUAUCAUAGAAAAAAAAAUGUACUCGAUUAUUAUAUUAUUAACAAUUGUGUAUAUAUUAUUUUUGUGUAUAAUGCGAUAUAAUAUAAAAAUUAUAAUAUAUCAACUGUUCAUGAAAAUGAAGCUUUGCAAAUUUUGGAGAAGAAUUGUUUCGACGAGAGUUAUCUGAUAUCAAGGAGAAGAUUAAUGGCAUUCAUUAUUUUUUUAUUUAGCGAAAAGUUUUAAAUGGAAAACAUUUUUUUUUCUUUUUUUUUAAUGAAUUACUUAUAUUAAUGACGAUACACUCGACAAAAUACGCAUGUACUGUGAUACAUAUAAUAAUUGUUUCAAGACGUAAGAUCGAAAGCAUCGAAUAAUAUCGCAUUUUAUUUUUUCACAAAUAUUCAAUACGAAGUGGCGAUACUAAUUGAAUAACUGUCUUUACAUCAGAAUUCUGUAUAAUAUGUAUGAGAAUAAUAGGAAAAUAUUCAGAUAAAAGAUGAUUAAAAUGUAAUAUAAUUAUUAGAAUGGAUAUUAUAAAUAAAUU